rnacentral:rRNA from 1 species
CAGACCGCCAGCUAAGGUCCCAAAGUCAUGGUUAAGUGGGAAACGAUGUGGGAAGGCACAGACAGCCAGGAUGUUGGCUUAGAAGCAGCCAUCAUUUAAAGAAAGCGUAAUAGCUCACUGGUCGAGUCGGCCUGCGCGGAAGAUGUAACGGGGCUAAACCAUGCACCGAAGCUGCGGCAGCGACACUAUGUGUUGUUGGGUAGGGGAGCGUUCUGUAAGCCUGCGAAGGUGACCUGUGAGGGUUGCUGGAGGUAUCAGAAGUGCGAAUGCUGACAUAAGUAACGAUAAAGCGGGUGAAAAGCCCGCUCGCCGGAAGACCAAGGGUUCCUGUCCAACGUUAAUCGGGGCAGGGUGAGUCGACCCCUAAGGCGAGGCCGAAAGGCGUAGUCGAUGGGAAACAGGUUAAUAUUCCUGUACUUGGUGUUACUGCGAAGGGGGGACGGAGAAGGCUAUGUUAGCCGGGCGACGGUUGUCCCGG